rnacentral:sRNA from 1 species
AUGGAUUAUCGAUAUCAAGAGGAUAUUCCUGUUGGCCCUCUCCGAGAUUCCAUCAUUUCCUACGGGAGUCUCGGUCCCCUGCUCACUUUGGGGGAUCGUGUCGUUUGGGUCCUGAGAGACGGACCGCAAUUCGGUUGGGUGCGAUGGGUCGGUCGUCUCCCCGACGUUACCGAAGACGGCUGGACGAUAGGGGUGGAAUUUGACAACCCCGUUGGCAGUGGAGAUGGAAGAUUCGCAGGCAAAAGAUAUUUUUUCGGGAGACAAGAUCGCGCUUUAUUUUUGCCAAACACCAACCUUGUAAGGGCGGAAGAGUAUCACCUUCAACUCGCGAAGCAGGAGGGAUUCGGGCCCGGGAAUCAGCAGGUUGUGGUUCCGCCUUACACCACUCUCCCAUCGCGGAAUAGUAGCCCACUAUUCCAGAAUUGCGUAGAGCUGGAUCCACAAUCCGAGCCGUGUUCGGCGGUAGCCACUCCCGUCCAAACCAAGAGGUCGAUGUUCCGAGCGUUCAAGCUGAAGAAAAGCAAGAGUCUCCAGGAAUCGGUUGAAGAUGAAGUUGGCUUCGGUAAUGUGAAGCUGAAACGGAAAGAGAAGUCGCAUUUCCAUCUUCUGCCUCUGAGGUUCCCCAAGAGUCCAUCGAAUUCGUCGGUCUCUUCAGCGCCACCAAAUUUCGGACCGCCGCGAAUUGCGGGGGCAGAACAGCUCGCAGAGGACUCGUCGAUGUCAGGGGAGGAAUCGUCUCUGAUGUCCUGUCUCCCGUCCCUUGGUGGAAGUCUCCUGCGACGACGUCGGAGCAAAAAAGUUCCAAGGUAUCUGCGUCGACAUCCUCGAAAAAACAAAAAACGAAAGCGAAAAAACGAGCCAACGAUCAGACUCCAUCGUUCGCUUUCCUGUCGACGACAGCUGACGGCGAUUCUACCACGUCCAGUCUAGUCUCGAACGGCGUGGGGAAUUCCCGGCAGUAUGCCAUGCUCCAACAGUACCGUGAUUCCCUGGAGGCUCGGAACACGCCGAGACUCGAGCGGAAAUUACCGCAUUUGGCCAAUCCUCAGCCGGGAACUUCGGCUGAAGUUCAGCUCUUCCAAGUGAAAUCGCAAACGCCGACAAUUGUUGCCUCGCAACAGGCGCGUAAACGAAAAUUCACCGCCUCGAACAGCGUCGGAGUCUGCUAACCCCGAUCAUACCUCCAGAUGAAGAUUUCGAUUAUCUGGACGUGGACCAGCGGUCGAACUCUCUACAAAUAACCAGGAACAGAUCUCCCAUCACACCCUUCGAAAGCCCGUCGUCAUUACCCCUGGAGACGCAAGUUGUGAAGAAGAAAAAGAAACGAAAAGCCCCGGCCCCUCCUGCGCUGAGUUUGACAGCUGACGGAACCAGCGGAAGCGUAGGCAGUCAGAGUUUCUCGAGCGGAAGCGAGAGUUUUCAGAGAAGGCUCAAGAAGAAAGCUCCUUCACCACCGACAAAAACUAAAAGUGAGAAGGAAGCGAGUUCUGCACCUCCGGAAUCCCCGAGAUUGAAUGACCUGUCCCGGAUAGACGAAGACGCCGAGUCGGAGUUUGAAUUUGUUCUCAGACGCAGUGAAUCGAAGGUGAACGAUCUCGUCGGCGCUAUCCAACGCUUGACCGAGAGCAGCGGAGAGCUGAGCCCGGAAGCAAGGAGUGACGACGGAACAAUCACUCCGAUCUUAGAUUCAGAGGCCUCUUCGUCGACUUCCACUAAAUGGCGUUACGUCGAUGUUUCCGACUCCAUGAGUAUCGACUCAAAUACGUCGGAGCCACCCCCGCGGCGCGAUUCCGUGUCAGAGUACCGUCUUGAGUUCGAAAGGAGGAGAGCGUUCUACGAGACUAAAAAUAGGGAAGCUUCGAAUGGAAGAGCCGCUUGCAGCACCACGGGCAGCAGAAACAGUCGUUCGUUUGAUGAACCCUCGCACACGGGCCAGUCGAACAUGAGUAGCUUCAAAGAUAUCCUCAAAUCGCACAGUAGUUCUUCUAUUGCGAGCAAAGGUUCGACGGGAUCGGACAGGAGGCCUCCAAUACAUCCGGAUUCCCCAACCGGGACGCGGCAGCUUCUCUACAAACAACUGGAAAGCGCUAUCUCAAGGGGCGAACACGACAAAGCAGCAAGCUUGGCCCGACAACUGGCCUUAAAUAAGCAGAAAGUAUCAACCAUCACGAUAAACUUGUACGUCGAGGACAAACUGUCACAUGUGGGGCCGAUCCGAUUGAUUCUCAAUCCAGCUAUCACAUUGCGUCAGCUCAAACAGAAAAUCCAAGCAGACUACAGAUUUCCUGAAGCCCGUCAAAGAUGGGUCAUAGGAUCUGGGCUCGCCAUGGACAACGAGCGGACUCUGGAGGAGAUGGGCAUCAACAGAAACGAUGCGAAUCUCUUCUUGUAUCUCGUGAGCGCUUCGAAAUAUGGUAGCGAUCGCAACCCCGGGACCCCAAAGUCUCUUCCAAGGGAGUUCCUUGAAAGUUUCCCCAGCGAUAUCCGACACAUCAUACCCGAGAGAGUGGCCAGGAGCUCAAAGAGCACACAGAAAGUGCAGCGAGCUGAAUCGAUCGAUUCCGACGAAACAUGGCAGACGACCUCUGACUUCGACAACAACUCACCGGAGUCGUCAACGGCCAGGGUUCGGAGGAGAAGGGAGAUAAUCCGGACAGAAGCCGAACAGAGCGUGGAUAAACUCAAAAAGCUGCUCAGAUGCCACGAUACUCUGAAGGGCUGGAAAUGCGAAUUGUGCGGCAUGACCAAUCGGCGUGCCGGUCAGGAGUGCGUGAUGUGCGGUUCGUUGUACAGUGCGACAAGCAACGACGCCGACGACGAGCGCUUCGACGGGAGUUUGGACGAUAUAAAUAACUUCGACCGUCUGUCAGUCAACAAAAUUCACGGCGAAAAGAUCAGUCCCGAUCUUUCACCGGUCCAUGCUGAGACGAUCGCUGGUCGGAGUCCUCCGAAGAGUCCAGUGUUCGUCAAAGCGCUCCUACCUGCCUCUAUGCCGGAUCCGACUCGUGAGAAACCGCAAAGGAACUCGAUCGCAAAAUCCAGAUCUCCGAGCAGAAGUCAAAUCCCUCGACCAAUCUUCGUAUCGGACAGUAGUCCGAGCCCACCGCGACCCCUGCAGCCCAGAACCCCUCCCUCGGCCGAGGGUCUUUGGCGAACAAAUCCUUCCUUCGAGACCAGAACUUCAAUGAUUUCGGCACCCGACUUGGCUAAAGAGGAAAAUUUCAACUUAUCAAGCGAGAGCGGAAGUGACGGAGAGGGGUCAGUCACCAGUUUCGAGGUCAAUGAGAGGAUUUUUGCGCUCGACGACGGCGAUGAAUUGGGAAGGAUCACCGAUGAGCUUGGCUUGACGUCCCCGUCUGCGAAGCACGAAGGUCCCACAGGCGUCAAAUACAGAACCAAUGGAGAAAAUUCGACUCACGCUGGAGAAGGUCGCAACGAACGUCCGACGACGGCGAUCUUCCGUCCUGCUCAAGUGAGCAAUGCCUUCAUCGCCGAGGGCGCGAUCAGAUCAGCUGAGAUGAAACACGCAAUAGAAGAGCCGGCCAGAUGUAUUUCAGAAACGACGUUCUCAAAUCAGCCGCAGAGAGCUGUGUUGCACAUGGAAACUGGAACAAGACCGAAACAAGCGAACAUAGUGAAAAUAAAAACUGGAUCUCCCCCACCGGUCCCGUUCAAACCGUUGGUCACUGUCGAGUCCUGGGCGACGCGUCAGGAAAGGGAGCUCGCCGAGAAACGCCAAGGGUUCGCGAUCGAGACCGCCACGACGCGGGAUGUUUUCGAGGGUGCAAGACAAACGGCAAAAUUACGCUCAAUUUCCACGAGAAUCGACUGUGGUCGGUCGGAACACGUGAAAUCCGAAGACGAGGCGAAAGGUGGAUUGAAGGAAGCCAUAGAGACGCUCCGGACGUUGACGGAGAGCCCGGUGAAAGAUUAUCUCAAAUUGAUGCAGCUCGACGACCAUGACAUCGUCGCAAACACUGAGGAGUUCGAGUGCCCGGUGUGCUUCAGUCUAGUCAAACCUCACGAGGGCAUUGUGCUCAGGGAUUGCCUUCAUACGUUCUGCAAGGAGUGUCUACAGCAGGCGGUCGAUUUCUGCACGGAGGCCACGGUGAAGUGUCCGUUCAUGAACAUGGACUAUUCUUGUGAGAGUUACCUCCAGGAAAGAGAGAUCAAAGCUCUAGUGUCUGAGGAAAUUUACGAGAAACAUCUGAGACGGAGUAUGAAGCAGGCCGAAACUUCGGCUAUGAACUCUUUCCACUGUAAAACACCUGAUUGUGCUGGAUGGUGCUUUUUCGAAGACAAUGUAAAUAACUUUGAUUGCCCGGUGUGUUCGAAGAAGAACUGUUUGACAUGUCAAGCAAUCCAUGAUCCUCUGAACUGUCUCCAGUUCCAAGACAAACUCGAACUGGACGCCGAACUUACCGACGACGCCAAGAAAACGAAAGCGUUCCUCGAGGACAUGGUACGCUGUAACGACGCGAUGCACUGCCCCCAUUGUAGGAUCAUCCUGAUUAGGAAAUGGGGCUGCGAUUGGGUCAAAUGCUCAAUGUGUAAAACAGAAAUUUGCUGGGUUACUAAAGGACCCCGCUGGGGACCAGGGGGCCGGGGUGAUACAUCAGGAGGCUGUAAAUGCGGAGUCAAAGGCGUGAAGUGCCAUCCCAAAUGUACUUACUGUCAUUAG